AAGAGCCCAGCGCUGAAUCGCUCGGCAUUCGCCGCUGCGAAGUGUAGCGUAUAGGUGUGGUAUUCCGGUUGUCCGUCAUGUGCCAAGUCUCUUUGAUAGGGGCUUCCUAAGAGGGUGCAAGACCCGUACGCAUAGACACUCAAUCGGUUUCGCUACUCCUUGGAGUCGGGUUGCUUGAAAGUGCAGCCUAAAGCGGGUGAUAAACUUCAUCCAAGGCUAAAUAUUGGAGCAAAUUCGAUAGCAAACAAGUACAGUGAUGGAAAGUUGCAAAGAACUUUGAAGAGAGAGUUCAAGAGAACGUGAAAUCGCUUGUGUGGAACCGGAGAGAGUCAACGUAGUCUGGUGGCUAAGCUUUACGUCUGUCGUCUCUGAUGGCAUCGUGGAGUGUAUGCCGCCUAUGGCUGCGUCGGCGGCGUUGCCGGAGUCUGCUGAACCGUGUAGUGUUACCCACAUUUGUGGUGCUUUGCUUGCGGAUAGGCCGAUCUCUGGUAGCGUUCAGUCACUGCUGUGCAGUGCGCCGAUGUGAAAGUUGACCACCUCUCCGACCCGUCUUGAAACACGGACCGAGGAGUGUAGCUUGUGCGUGAGUCACUGAGUGUUAAAACUCAACGGCGUAAUGAAAGUAAAGGCUGAUUAAUCAGCUGACAUAGGAUCCGUCCCUCGUGGGCGGCGCACUAUGGCCCUGUCUCGGUUGCUUGCAAUUGGGCAGAGGAAGAACGUACAGGCUGCGACCCGAAAGAUGGUGAACUAUGCCUGAGCAGGACGAAGCCAGAGGAAACUCUGGUGGAAGUCCGUAUCGGUUCUGACGUGCAAAUCGAUCGAUAGACUUGGGUAUAGGGGCGAAAGACUAAUCGAACCAUCUAGUAGCUGGUUCCCUCCGAAGUUUCCCCCAGGAUAGCUGGAGCAGACUGUGGUUAUAUCCGGUAAAGCGAAUGAUUAGAGGAAUUGGGGUCGAAACGACCUCAACCUAUUCUCAAACUUUCAAUGGGUAUGAUGUCUUGGUUUCUUCAUUGAACUAGGACACGAACACUUGCUCCAAGUGGGCCAUUUUUGGUAAGCAGAACUGGCGCUGUGGGAUGAACCAAACGCCGUGUUAAGGUGCCUAACUUUGCACUCAUGAGACCCCAUAAAAGGCGUUGGUUGAUCUAGACAGCAGGACGGUGGCCAUGGAAGUCGGUACCCGCUAAGGAGUGUGUAACAACUCACCUGCCGAAUCAACUAGCCCUGAAAAUGGAUGGCGCUUGAGUGCGAGACCUAUACCCGGCCCUUGCUGGCUUGUGCGCUCGUCGCCUGGCCGCAAGGAGUAGGAGGGUCGUGUCGGUUGCGUCGAAGGCUUUGGGAGUGAUCCCAGCUGGAGCUGCCGGCAGUGCAGAUCUCGGUUGUAGUAGCAAAUACUCAAGUUCGAUCCUUGAGGACUGAAGUGGAGAAGGGUUCCACGUGAACAGUAGUUGAAUGUGGGUCAGUCGAUCCUAAGGUACAGGCUAAUGCCGUGUAUCAACGAGAGGGAGAAGCUUGCUUCUCUCUCGGAUGUCGAAAGGGAAUAGGGUUAAUAUUCCCUAACGUGGACGUAGAGAUUCUAGUACUUUGUGCUAGUUGCGCGGUAACGCAUUCGAACUCGGCGACACCGCACGAUGACCGAGCUAGAGUUUUCUUCUCUAGUUUAGGAACGGACUCCCCGGAAUCGGUUCACCCGGAGAAAGGGACGUUGUUUCCGUAAAGCACCGCGGUCUGCGUGGUGUCUCGUGCUUAUCGUGUGGUCCUUGAAAAACCGAGGGAGGCUAUUAAUCUACGCCACAUCGUACCGAUAUCCGCAUCAGGUCUCCAAGGUGAACAGCCUCUAGUCGAUAGAAUAAUGUAGGUAAGGGAAGUCGGCAAAUUAGAUCCGUAACUUCGGGAAAAGGAUUGGCUCCAGUGACCGGGUCGGUUGGCCUGUUGACUGAUAUUGGCGGGUUUGGCCCGUGACUGGGUGAGGCUUCGGCUGAUCUCGGACUAGUGGUUAGAUCUGCCUUUGGACGUCUUCAGGUGUAUACAUUGGUUUCGGCCUUUGUAUCCUGACUGGCCAUCAAAACGGUCGAACUGGAACUGGUACGGACUCGGGGAAUCCGACUGUCUAAUUAAAACAGAGGAGACAGAUGGUCCUUGCGGACGUUGACUGUCUCUGAUUUCUGCCCAGUGCUCUGAAUGUUAAAUCGUAGUAAUUCGAGUAAGCGCGGGUAAACGGCGGGAGUAACUAUGACUCUCUUAAGGUAGCCAAAUGCCUCGUCAUCUAAUUAGUGACGCGCAUGAAUGGAUUAACGAGAUUCCCACUGUCCCUAACUACUAUCUAGCGAAACCACAGCCAAGGGAACGGGCUUGGCAAAUACAGCGGGGAAAGAAGACCCUGUUGAGCUUGACUCUAGUUUGACAUUGUGAAGAGUCAUGAGAGGUGUAGCAUAGGUGGGAGCUUCGCGGCGCCAAUGAAAUACCACCACUUUCAUCGAUUCUUUACUUAUUCGGUUACGUGAGGACCGGACUUCGGUCCUGUGUUCUUCGUAUUAAUCUCAGCCACCUGGUGGCCGGGAGACUCUCGCCGAAGACAUUGUCAGGCGGGGAGUUUGACUGGGGCGGUACAUCUGUCAAAUCGUAACGCAGGUGUCCUAAGGCUAGCUCAGAGAGGACAGAAACCUCUCGUAGAGCAAAAGGGCAAAAGCUCGCUUGAUCUUGACUUUCAGUACGAGUACAGACCGCGAAAGCGUGGCCUAUCGAUCCUUUUAAUCCAGAUUGUUUCUGGUAAGAGGUGUCAGAAAAGUUACCACAGGGAUAACUGGCUUGUGGCAGCCAAGCGUCCAUAGCGACGUUGCUUUUUGAUCCUUCGAUGUCGGCUCUUCCUAUCAUUGCGAAGCAGAAUUCGCCAAGCGUUGGAUUGUUCACCCACUAAUAGGGAACGUGAGCUGGGUUUAGACCGUCGUGAGACAGGUUAGUUUUACCCUACUGUAGACUGAUUAUUACGAUAGUAGUCCUGCUUAGUACGAGAGGAACAGCAGGUCCAGACAUUUGGUUCAUGGACCUGGCCGAUCGGCCAUGGUCCGAAGCUACCAUCUGGGGGAUUAUAACUGAACGCCUCUAAGUUAGAAUCCCACCUAGCCAUGGUAGUGAUAACUUUGCAUCCCGGUUUUGGGAGGCACACCUAUCUCGUGGUAACGCGAGAGUCCCCUUGCCCCAUCUGAUCGUGUUAGUAGAAUUAACGUCUGCUAACUGCUUCAGCCAGAGCACUCCUCUGGUCCAAUGUCGGGGCUGCAAAAUCUCUUGCAAACGACUUGUUUACUGGUCAAGGUGUUGUAUCCAGUAGAGCAGUUCCUAUAUACU
rnacentral:rRNA from 1 species